rnacentral:rRNA from 1 species
CAGAUCCUACGGGACGCAGCAGUGAGGAAUAUUGGUCAAUGGCCGAGAGGCUGAACCGGCCAAGUCGCGUGAGGGAUGACGGCCCUACGGGUUGUAAACCUCUUUUGUCGGGGAGCAAGACCCGCCACGAGUGGCGGAGCGAGAGUACCCGAAGAAAAAGCAUCGGCUAACUCCGUGCCAGCAGCCGCGGUAAUACGGAGGAUGCGAGCGUUAUCCGGAUUUAUUGGGUUUAAAGGGUGCGCAGGCGGACCAUCAAGUCAGCGGUAAAAUCGUGGGGCCCAACCCCAUCCCGCCGUUGAAACGGG